GACGAACGCUGGCGGCGUGCUUAACACAUGCCAGUCGAACGGAAAGGCCCUGCUUUUGUGGGGUGCUCGAGUGGCGAACGGGUGAGUAACACGUGAGUAACCUGCCCUUGACUUUGGGAUAACUUCAGGAAACUGGGGCUAAUACCGGAUAGGAGCUCCUGCUGCAUGGUGGGGGUUGGAAAGUUUCGGCGGUGGGGGAUGGACUCGCGGCUUAUCAGCUUGUUGGUGGGGUAGUGGCUUACCAAGGCUUUGACGGGUAGCCGGCCUGAGAGGGUGACCGGCCACAGUGGGACUGAGAUACGGACCAGACUCCUACGGGAGGCAGCAGUGGGGAAUAUUGCACAAUGGGCGGAAGCCUGAUGCAGCAACGCCGCGUGCGGGAUGACUGCCUUCGGGUUGUAAACCGCUUUCGCCUGUGACGAAGCGUGAGUGACGGUAAUGGGUAAAGAAGCACCGGCUAACUACGUG
rnacentral:rRNA from 1 species